GCCCAUGCUUGGCAGGGAGAGAGAGAGAGUGUGUGCUUGGCAGGGAGAGAGAGAGUGCCCGGUAGGGAGAGGGAGAGCGUGCAUGGCAGGGAGAGAGAGAGAGAGAGUGUGUGUGGAUGGCAGGGAGAGAGAAAGAGAGUGCCCGGUAGGGAGAGAGAGAGCGUGCUUGGCAGGGAGAGAGAGAGAGAGAGUGUGUGUGGAUGGCAGGGAGAGAGAAAGAGAGUGCCCGGUAGGGAGAGAGAGAGCGUGCUUGGCAGGGAAGAGAGAGAGAGAGUGUGUGUGGAUGGCACUGAGAGAGAGAGAGAGUGCCCGGUAGGGAGAGCGUGCUUGGCAGGGAGAGAGAGAGACAGACAUAGAAGAGUGCUAGCAGCAGUUCAGCGCUUCUGAAUGUGAACACAACCUAGAUGAAAGAAGAGGAAGAUUCCUACUGACAAUAAUCUGCUGGAUGAUUCUCUCAACUGAGCUGAGCGCUGGAUGUUCUGACUGCUGUAUGGAUGAAUCACCUGUUUCUUCUUAUUAAGGCUAUUUCUCAGGCAUCGCUGGAGAUGCCCUUUUAUGUGCAUUGAGCUGGAGACAGAGCGCCGAAAACAGAAGGCACGGGGAGAGAGAGAGAGAGAGAGAGAGGGACAUCCAACUGAGUAGACCCCCCCCCCUCCUCUUCAAUUUACCCACCCACCUACCCUGAGUCUUUACAUCAGAACAUUCUUCUCUCACCCUUUCCUGUCUCUCUCUCUCUCUCUCUCUCUCUCUCUCUCUGUGCCUUUCUGCACAACGGCAUAACAGUCUAUUUACUGAGGGUGAAAAGGAGGGAUUCUACCACCCAACAGUCCUCAACCAUGGGAGAUAAAGGCACAAGGGUAUUCAAAAAAGCAAGUCCCAAUGGAAAGCUCACAGUGUACCUGGGGAAGAGGGACUUUGUGGACCACGUUGACCUGGUGGAACCCGUAG